rnacentral:rRNA from 1 species
UGGGGAAUAUUGGACAAUGGGCGCAAGCCUGAUCCAGCCAUGCCGCGUGAGCGAUGAAGGCCCUAGGGUUGUAAAGCUCUUUCACCGGUGAAGAUAAUGACGGUAACCGGAGAAGAAGCCCCGGCUAACUUCGUGCCAGCAGCCGCGGUAAUACGAAGGGGGCUAGCGUUGUUCGGAUUUACUGGGCGUAAAGCGCACGUAGGCGGACUAUUAAGUCAGGGGUGAAAUCCCGGGGCUCAACCCCGGAACUGCCUUUGAUACUGGUAGUCUUGAGUUCGAGAGAGGUGAGUGGAAUUCCGAGUGUAGAGGUGAAAUUCGUAGAUAUUCGGAGGAACACCAGUGGCGAAGGCGGCUCACUGGCUCGAUACUGACGCUGCGGUGCGAAAGCGUGGGGAGCAAACAGG